rnacentral:rRNA from 1 species
UGGGAAUAUUGGACAAUGGGCGAAAGCCUGAUCCAGCAAUGCCGCGUGAGUGAUGAAGGCCUUAGGGUUGUAAAGCUCUUUUACCCGGGAUGAUAAUGACAGUACCGGGAGAAUAAGCUCCGGCUAACUCCGUGCCAGCAGCCGCGGUAAUACGGAGGGAGCUAGCGUUGUUCGGAAUUACUGGGCGUAAAGCGCACGUAGGCGGCGAUUCAAGUCAGAGGUGAGAGCCCGGGGCUCAACCCCGGAACUGCCUUUGAAACUAGAUUGCUAGAAUCCUGGAGGGGCGAGUGGAAUUCCGAGUGUAGAGGUGAAAUUCGUAGAUAUUCGGAAGAACACCAGUGGCGAAGGCGACUCGCUGGACAGGUAUUGACGCUGAGGUGCGAAAGCGUGGGGAGCAAGCAGGAUUAGAUACCCUGGUAGUCCACGCCGUAAACGAUGAUAACUAGCUGUCCGGGCACUUGGUGCUUGGGUGGCGCAGCUAACGCAUUAAGUUAUCCGCCUGGGGAGUACGGUCGCAAGAUUAAAACUCAAAUGAAUUGACGGGGUCAAGCUGUUUCCUG